UUUUCCUGUAAAGAAUCCACCAAUAGUUUAAGCUCCUUAGUAAGAGAUGCUUGAUAGUUUCGAAUAUCAGAAGAAACUUCAUUUAAACCUUCAGUCACCAGUUGAACAAUUAUGCCCAUUUGCUCAAGUCCAAUUUUUUUCUCUUGAUUUGCAUUGAGAGCACUACCUUUGUUAGACCUAUUUUAUUUAUAUAUCUUUGAAAAUACUUACUCCUCCAGU